GCCCCCGUUGUCUAGUGGCCCAGGACACCGGCCCCUCACGCCGGAAGCGCGGGUUCGAAUCCCGCCGGGGGUACCA
rnacentral:tRNA from 1 species